rnacentral:rRNA from 1 species
UUAUAUAACUAGUCCCUAUAUGCAUCAGAUCCUAUCUGAUCUUGGAAGCUAAGCAGGUUCCUCCUUGGUUAGUAUUUGGAUGGGAGACUGUCAAUGAAUACCAGGGGCUGUAUUUC